rnacentral:piRNA from 1 species
UACUUCGGGAACCUAAUAAAU